CAAUUCUAGUGCAAAUAUUGAGAGGCCAGGUUUAGUCACCCCGUUACAAUCAACCGAGGCAUACUCACCAAUAACGAAAUGCUCCAUUCGAUUCUAGUAACUAGAGCCAGUAGGAAGGAAAAGUACUAAUUCAAUGUCAGGUGAGCUUGGUUCGGAGAGCCAAUUGAAUCCAAUUUCAGAAGACAUCUAAUCCAUGUCUUAUUAUGGACCU
rnacentral:lncRNA from 1 species